rnacentral:tRNA from 1 species
GGCCUCGUAGCUCAGUUGGUUAGAGCGUUGGCUUUACCAAAACCUUCAUCUUUCUGGCUUGGGUUCGAAUCCCACCGAGACCG